CGAAACCCAUUUUGCUUUCAAAGCAAAGCAAAUAGACCCUGAAAGUUUUCUUUUCCACUUUGAUUUCGGAAAGAAAAUCAGAGCAAACGUAUCGAUCUUGUUGAACGAUCUAUAGCCAUGGUUGUAGAUCGAGUGGUUGGAGUUUAGCGAGUGGACUCAGCUGGUGCUUUUCUGUUGGAGUAUACCGAGUGGACUCGGUUGAUCAAAGCAUAUGAUGACAAGGGAAUCGUCGACGAACCUACCUUGAGAAAUCGAGAUGGACAUCUUCUCUAGACUUCCAGUUAAAUCUCUUUUGAGAUUUAGAUGGAUGGAUUUCAGAUUUGGGGCUUUCGAAGAAUCUUUGUAUGUACUUUUUUCCCAUAUUUUGGUGAUGCCCCUGUUGAGGUGUGGUUGACGAAGGAAUAUGGUGUGAUGGCAUCUUGGACUAAGUUAAUCUCUAUCGCAUAUCACAUGGACACUCCCUUCGCACCGUUAUGUUUCUUGAGAAAUGGUGAACUUCUACUGAUGACUAGCGGUGAUCGGUCAAGACAUCGGGCAAACUUUGGAUCAUACAAUUCUAAAGAAAAAACAUUUACGAAAAUUUGUAAUUGUCCUUUUUCUCAAGCGGUUUUGUAUGUGGAGAGUCUAGUUUCACUUAAUAGCAUUGAUGAGAAUGGCGAGUUUCCCGUGCAGGGGCCAAUCCCAAAAGCAGUGAUGGGGCCAAUCCCAAAAGCAGUGAUGAUGAUGUUGGCGUGGUUGAUUUACAUUUUGUGGUUUUUCAUUCCCUGCCAAUAGAUGGAUGUUGAAUCUUGGAUGUCAUACUUGGAAAGGAAAAACUGUUUGCCUUCGACAUUAUACCUAAAUACUGAUCUGCAAUUAGUGUGCUGAUUUUCUUUUUUUUCCCUGGUGAAUGGUAUGUUGAAAAUCUAUGUUAGUUAUAUAUUGAAAAUUAGACAAAGACGAUUAAACUA